rnacentral:rRNA from 1 species
AGAGCAUAGGGUGAAUGCCUAGGCACCAGAAGGCGAAGAAGGACGCGAUAAGCUGCGAAAAGCUACGGUAAGGAGCAAAUAUCCUGCGACCCGUAGAUAUCCGAAUGGGGGAACCCACCUGAGGUAAAUGCUCAGGUACUGAUACAUGAAUCCAUAGUGUAUCAGAGCGAGACGUGGGGAACUGAAACAUCUAAGUACCCACAGGAAGAGAAAUCAACCGAGAUUCCGUAAGUAGUGGCGAGCGAACGCGGAAGAGCCCAAACCAAUCUAUAGCAAUAUAGGUCGGGGUUGUGGACCGGCAUAAUGAUCCAUCAAACUUAGCAGAAGUAACCAGGAAAGGUUACACCAAAGAGGGUAAAAGUCCCGUACGCGAAAAGAGAGAUGGCAGGCCGGUAUCCAGAGUACCACGAGGCACGUGAAACCUUGUGGGAAGCAGGGGGGACCACCCUCCAAGGCUAAAUACUUCCUGGUGACCGAUAGUGAAGCAGUACCGUGAGGGAAAGGUGAAAAGAACCCCGGGAGGGGAGUGAAAGAGAACCUGAAACCCUAUGUUUACAAGCAGUUGAAGAGCGUUAAGGCUCGACAGCGUACUUUUUGUAGAACGGUCCGGCGAGUUAUUGUAUGUGGCAAGGUUAAGUACUAAUGGUACGGAGCCGAAGCGAGAGCGAGUCUGAAUAGGGCGAAUAAGUCACAUGUAAUAGACCCGAAACCGGGUGACCUAUCCAUGGACAGGUUGAAGCGAGAGUAAAAUCUCGUGGAGGACCGAACUCAUAACCGUUGAAAAGGUUUGGGAUGAGCUGUGGAUAGCGGAGAAAUUCCAAUCGAACUCGGAGAUAGCUGGUUCUCCCCGAAAUAGCUUUAGGGCUAGCCUCAAGUAUGUCUAACGGAGGUAAAGCACUGAAUGGGCUAGGGGCCUUACCGGGUUACCGAACCCUAUCAAACUCUGAAUGCCGUAUAGAUUAAAGCUUGGGAGUCAGACAGCGUGAGAUAAGUUUCGUUGUCAAAAGGGAAACAGCCCAGACCAUCAGCUAAGGUCCCAAAAUCACAGUUAAGUGGAAAAGGAUGUGGGUUUGCUAAGACAACUAGGAUGUUGGCUUAGAAGCAGCCACUCAUUCAAAGAGUGCGUAAUAGCUCACUAGUCGAGUGAACCUGCGCCGAAAAUGUUCGGGGCUCAAACUGUGUACCGAAGCUAUGGAUCCAGAAAUGGGUGGUAGGGGAGCUUACUAUGUUAGGUAGAAGCAUGAUCGUAAGGACAUGUGGACGAAAUAGUAGUGAGAAUGCCGGAAUAAGUAGCGAGAGUGAAGUGAGAAUCUUUACCGUCGAAAAUCUAAGGUUUCCUGGGGAAGGUUCGUCCGCCCAGGGUAAGUCGGGACCUAAGCCGAGGCCGAAAGGCGUAGGCGAUGGACAACAGGUUGAAAUUCCUGUACUACCGCUGCUCGUUAUCAGAGAUGUGGGGACGCAGGGGGAUAAGUCAAGCGAGUGACUGGAAGAGCUCGUCUAAGUAGAGGAUAUAGUCUGGUAGGCAAAUCCGCCGGAUGUUUUGAGACUACGAAUGGGAGGGAAAUUAGAGUACCGAAGUGACUGAUUCCGCACUGACGAGAAAAUCCACUAUCGAGAGUAGAGGUACCCGUACCGCAAACCGACACAGGUAGAUGAGGAGAGAAUCCUAAGACGAACGGGAGAAGCGUUGUUAAGGAACUCGGCAAAUUGACCCCGUAAGUUCGCAAUAAGGGGUGCCUCAGCAAUGAGGUCGCAGAGAAUAGGCCCAAGCAACUGUUUAACAAAAACACAGGUCUCUGCUAAAUCGAAAGAUGAAGUAUAGGGGCUGACGCCUGCCCGGUGCUGGAAGGUUACGGGAAUCUGUCAACGAAAGUGAAGCAGUGAACUUAAGCCCCAGUAAACGGCGGCCGUAACUAUAACGGUCCUAAGGUAGCGAAAUUCCUUGUCAGGUAAGUUCUGACCCGCACGAAUGGCGUAAUGAUUUGGGCACUGUCUCAACAACGUACCCGGCGAAAUUGUAGUACUUGUGAAGAUGCAAGUUACCCGCGACUAGACGGAAAGACCCCAUGGAGCUUUACUGUAGCCUGAUACUGGGUUUCGGUAUUUUUUGUACAGGAUAGGUGGGAGAUUAGGAAGUAUGGACGCCAGUUCAUAUGGAAUCGACGUUGGGAUACCACUCUAAGAAUACUGGAACUCUAACCUGAGGCCAUAAUCUGGUCUAGGGACACUGUCAGGUGGGCAGUUUGACUGGGGCGGUCGCCUCCCAAAAGGUAACGGAGGCGUUCAAAGGUUACCUCAGCGCGGUUGGAAAUCGCGCAACGAGUGCAAAGGCAUAAGGUAGCCUGACUGCGAGACAAACAAGUCGAGCAGGUACGAAAGUAGGACUUAGUGAUCCGGCGGUAUGAAAGUGGAAUUGCCGUCGCUCAACGGAUAAAAGCUACCCUGGGGAUAACAGGCUGAUCUCCCCCAAGAGUCCACAUCGACGGGGAGGUUUGGCACCUCGAUGUCGGCUCAUCGCAUCCUGGAGCUGAAGUAGGUUCCAAGGGUUUGGCUGUUCGCCAAUUAAAGCGGUACGCGAGCUGGGUUCAGAACGUCGUGAGACAGUUCGGUCCCUAUCUGUCGCGGGCGCAGGAUAUUUGAAGGGAUCUGUCCUUAGUACGAGAGGACCGGGAUGGACGAACCUCUGGUGCACCAGUUGUACUACCAAGUGCAUAGCUGGGUAGCCAAGUUCGGAAGGGAUAAACGCUGAAGGCAUCUAAGCGUGAAACCCACCCUAAGAUGAGAUAUCCCACCGUAAGGGUAAGACCCCAUGUAGACUACAUGGUUGAUAGGCCAGAGGUGUAAGUGCAGUAAUGUAUUUAGCUGACUGGUACUAAUAGGUCGAGGGCUUGACCA